AUAAUAAUAAUAAUAAUAAUAAUAGCAAUCAAUAUCACCAUGUUGCACACGUCAUUGUGAUGCAUGCACCUAGUGUAGCCUUAUCAGACGGGUAGUCAUAAUGGGUAUACUAAGCUUUGUAUAUUUUACCCCAGUGUCACUUUGAUGGCAUGCACUGCUCUCUCACUCAAUAAUAUUUAUAAU